GACUCCGGCAGGUCGAUGCUGUCUCCGCACUUGAUAUAAAUGGAAGCAGACAGUUCGUUCUUUUCCGUGUCUGGCGUCUCUGGCCCCAUGUUCUGUGGAUUUAUUUUUAUCUUCAGUCCAACCAUCGCAGGUUUCCUGAGGCUGGGAAGGUUCCCACAGACAGAGGCUUCGGAUGCUGAUGGCUGGCUGACUGAGGGAAUGACCGGCUGACCAACCGGCCUCAAGGGAUGAUGGGUGGCUGAAGCUGGGGCGGCAGCUGAGCCAGGAAAACGCUCGAUCGCCAUGCAAGCUGAGCCUGGUGCUUCUGAUCCCAGUGCUGGGCAGGAGACAAGGGUAUCCCUGGAGCUGGCUGUUUAACUUAUUUGGGGAAUCUACAGUUCCAGGUGACUCGUCUUGAGGGGAAGGCAGAGUGACGUGUGUCAGGAAAAAUCAUCUUCAGGCAAGUCCGCAUCCCUAGGGCAAGGAUACCCACCGAGGGCUGUGGUCUGUCACUUCUGCAGUCAGAGGAACCUGCCGGCUUAGACGCCUGGUGUUUCAUAGUGUCGUCAUCCUUGCUCUAUCACAGCAGGACGAGUUCUUCAUCACAAAAUGCGUUUAACUCACUCAGAAAGGGAAGCCCAAGGUGGCUUGGCCGGUCUGUGCAGUCUUUGGGGAGGGGACUCUUGUUGGCAUCAACAUGGCGGUGGCCAGUGGUGCCAGUGCACUGAGAAGAUGCAGGUCGGAGAUUCAGUGGUCAGGCUCAUUCUUCCUACAACAAGCUGUAUUGAAGAAACGAUCAGGGUUCCUCUGAAACUACAUGGACUGCUUCCCAGGGCUGUGCCUCCAACACGCGCUCCCUUCCCCUAGGCCCCGCCCCUCACAGAUCUAUCACCUUCUGACGUCACUGCUCUGGAAACCAAGCUGCCAACACAAGACCUCUCCAGGGUGUGCGGAUUUCUUUUCCAGUCCAGGACACCUGGAGAUGGUGGUGUCGGCAGGAGGUGACAUGGUGGCCUGGGUGGACAGCUUCAUUGGAGGACUGUUGGGGUGAGGGAGGGGAAGCCAAGACUCCUGCCUGGCCUGUGGGGACACUGGGGAGGGAUAAAGGGCUACUGUAUGGGAGGAGAGAUGGAUGCUGGGAGAAAGGGACAUUUUUGAUGUGUUCAGUUUGAGAUGCCUCAGCAAGAGACACCAGAAAAGCACUUGGGAAUAUAUUUAUUUGAGAAAGUA